GGUUAGGCUGUGGUUGGACUUGAUGAUCUUCAAGGUCUUUUCCAACCUGGGUAAUUCUAUGAUUGUAUGAUUUCUGUGGGCCAGAGGCACAAGCACUGCCCAGACCCUGCCCUGCCUGCCCUCCCCAGGGAACCAGGCCUGGUCUGUGUUCCACAGCAUCCUCAGGAAGGCUCAGAGGACUUGACACCAGAGCAAGGAUGUCCUCAGAUGCAGGAUGUCACCUGAGAAAGGAGGGAGCAGUGGGAACUCCCAGAGCCACUGGAGAUCCUUCUGUGCUGCUGCCUGUGGACCCUCUCCUUCAGAAUCCACAUCCUCCUCCCGUGCUGGAGCACUGAUUGCAACCAAUGGUAUGUGUAGGAUCUUAGCUUUAGCCUUGUCCAAUGAUUCCAAACCUCAAAUAAAGCCAAAGGCUCGGAACCAGUCAGCUCAGUCCCAUCUCCGAGGGCCUGCAGCUCUCAUACAGCAUCCGAGCAGAGGUCUGCCAUUCUGUUUACUAUUUACAGCCCUAUUCCAGGCAAUUUUGUAUUUGCUUUAAGCGUGGUACGUGGGCCUCAGAUGGACUCAGACUCCUUUCCUGAGAUGUUAUUGUGUGAGAUCUAAAGGUAGAUUUGCAGCAGUAUUCGGUCCGCGCUGUACUCGGUCCUGCAGGAAGAGGCACAAUGCAUCCUCCCUGUGAUCUGCAGCCUCGGCACAAGGAUGCAGUUAAGUAGGGCAGCGGCAACAGACGAUCAGCAGAACAGCUUUGUGGAUUAUUUACACAGAGCUCAGCCCAGCUGUGGCUGCAGGUUUUGUGCUCGUUCAAGGACACAGGCGGGGAGCUCCCUGCAGCCCACGUGCUGGGAUGUGAUGUUGAGCUGUGCCCUGGGGAAGGCAGCACAGGGGCCGCUUUGCAUGGCGACCACUGGGCAUGGUGAUCCAUUGGUGUGGUGAUCAGUUGGUGUGGUGACUACUUGGCAUGGCUUACAAGCCAUUUCCUGGCUUGCAGUGUCCCUGGCCUUGAAGGAAAGCCACCAUCGAAUCAGAGAAUUGUUAAAGAUGGGAAAGAUCACUAGGACCCCCAAGUCCAGCCCCAGCUGAUCCCACUGUGCCUGCUGACCAUGUCCUUUGGUGCCACAUCUUUGCUGCUGCUGAACACCUCUGGGGAUGGAGACUUUGCCACCUCCCUGUGCAGCUGUGCCAACACCAGCCUGUCCUAGUGAAGAUGAAGCUCCUGAGCAGGGCCUUCAGUUUAGUCCAGGCUCUGCUCCCACCCCUGGCGUUAUGCACUCAGCUCUCACCAUGGCUCUUGUGCUCCAUUGCCCUGCUGAGUGAGCUCUUGUGCUCCAAGGGCAAAAUUCAACCAGAUUCCCAUUGAUGGGAAUCUCCCAUCCCUGGAGACUCUCAAGGGAUCAGACUCUGGACAACCUGAUGUAGCCGUGGUGUCCCUGUGCAUUGCAGGGGAGCUGGACUAGAUGGCCUUUAAAUGUCCCUCCCAGCUCUAAGGAUCCCAUGAUUCUAUGAUGGGCUUCAGGUAAAGCUGCAGUGCCCUCCAGCAGAGGACGGAGCCCGCAGAGCACCGUGCUGCAGCUCCCAGAUUGUGAUCUGAUGUAUGAGGAAUGUUAACGUCAGAGCGCAGAGAGACGUUAUUGGGGAGCUGAGGAAAUGAGGAACAGCCUGGAGAUGGUCAGAGGGAGGGGUUAAUCUCCCUGGAAGUUUCUGGAAGCUCUUACAAAAGCAGCACUGCCGCUGUUUGUGCCAACGACUCGAUCAUCCAAUUCCAAGUCGAUAAACAAAGCUUCGUUCCAAAGUUAUUUCCAUUUGUUCCCAGGUACAGAAGAACCGUAUCGCGAUUUAUUGUUCCUUCUUAAUGUGUGUCUGCCAGGAGGGCGGCCAGUCUGAAUGCAGGCAGCGCACAGAAUGCCACGGAUGAGCCCUGAAUACAAAUGCAAAGGAAAUUAUCUUCUGCCGCUGUCAGAAGGCUCAGCUCCCGGGACACUCUCAGCCCAUUGCCAUCCAUCAGGGGCACUGCAGCCCUCCCUUUGUUUCCUGAUGCUAUUGCAGCACUGCUGACGCACAUGUGCUGCUGUUCGGUUCUCUGCGCUUCCAUCACACGUGGCUCCAUCUCAUUUCUGAACGUUUCCAUCCUCCACUUGAGGACCCUCAGCUCCUGUGCUCCCAGACCCGCAGCUGUGGCCACAGUUGAGCUCUGCUCAUUGGCUGACAGACAGACAGACGGGCACUGAGCUGUACCUGCACCCCCGGGUCUGUCUCUGGUGGGGACGUCGCUUCCUCUGCAAGGGGAUUAUAGAUAAUACAUUCUGGUCUAAUUAAAAUUUGCUGAAGUUAUUAGGA